rnacentral:tRNA from 1 species
CAGGCUGUCUUUAUUAGGAAGUUUAUUGGUUACGUCAAUAUUGGGGUUGUGCAAGUCAAUCAUGUCUGA